rnacentral:ncRNA from 2 species
UGUAACAACUCACCUGCCG